CACGUAGGGCGCAAGCGUUGUCCGGAAUUAUUGGGCGUAAAGAGCUCGUAGGCGGUCUGUUGCGUCUGCUGUGAAAACCCGGGGCUUAACCCCUGGCUUGCAGUGGAUACGGACAGACUAGAGGUAGGUAGGGGAGAAUGGAAUUCCCGGUGUAGUGGUGAAAUGCGCAGAUAUCAGGAGGAACACCAAUGGCGAAGGCAGCUCGCUGGGACGUGACUGACGCUGAGACGCGAAAGCGUGGGGAGCAAACAGG
rnacentral:rRNA from 1 species